CCUACGGGAGGCUGCAGUGAGGAAUAUUGGUCAAUGGGCGUAAGCCUGAACCAGCCAAGUCGCGUGAGGGAUGAAGGUUCUAUGGAUUGUAAACCUCUUUUAUCAGGGAAUAAAGUGUGGGACGUGUCCUGUUUUUUAUGUAACUUAUGAAUAAGGAUCGGCUAACUCCGUGCCAGCCGGCGCGGGAAUACGGGGGAUCCGAGCGUUAUCCGGAUUUAUUGGGUUUAAAGGGUGCGUAGGCAGCCUUUGAAGGUAGGCGGUAAAGUCUGGUGGUCAACCAUAGAAGUGCCGUUGAAACUGGGAGGCUUGAGUAUGUUUGAGGCAGGCGGAAUGCGUGGUGUAGCGGUGAAAUGCUUAGAUAUCACGCAGAACCCCGAUUGCGAAGGCAGCCUGCCAAGCCAUGACUGACGCUGAUGCACGAAAGCGUGGGGAUCAAACAGGAUUAGAUACCCGGGUAGUC
rnacentral:rRNA from 1 species